AACGAACGCUGGCGGCAUGCCUAACACAUGCAAGUCGAACGAUGGUCUUCGGAUCAUAGUGGAGCACGGGUGCGUAACGCGUGGGAAUCUGCCCUUGGGUUCGGAAUAACAGUUGGAAACGACUGCUAAUACCGGAUGAUGUCGAUAAGACCAAAGAUUUAUCGCCCGAGGAUGAGCCCGCGUCGGAUUAGCUAGUUGGUGGGGUAAAGGCCUACCAAGGCGACGAUCCGUAGCUGGUCUGAGAGGAUGAUCAGCCACACUGGGACUGAGACACGGCCCAGACUCCUACGGGAGGCAGCAGUGGGGAAUAUUGGACAAUGGGCGCAAGCCUGAUCCAGCAAUGCCGCGUGAGUGAUGAAGGCCUUAGGGUUGUAAAGCUCUUUUACCCGGGAAGAUAAUGACUGUACCGGGAGAAUAAGCCCCGGCUAACUCCGUG
rnacentral:rRNA from 1 species